rnacentral:rRNA from 1 species
UACGGGGGGGGCAAGCGUUGUUCGGAAUUACUGGGCGUAAAGGGCUCGUAGGCGGCCGCGCAAGUCUGGCGUGAAAGCCCCGGGCUCAGCCCGGGAAGGGCGCUCGAAACGGCGCGGCUCGAGUGCCGGAGGGGAGAGUGGAAUUCCUGGUGUAGCGGUGAAAUGCGCAGAUAUCAGGAGGAACACCGGUGGCGAAGGCGGGUCUCUGGGCCGAUAUUGACGCUGAGGAGCGAAAGCGUGGGGAGCGAACAGG